rnacentral:rRNA from 1 species
GACGGGGGAUGCAAGUGUUAUCCGGAAUCACUGGGCGGAAAGCGUCUGCAGGUGGUUUCCUAAGUCCACUGUUAAACCUUGAGGCUCAACCUCAAAUCUGCAUUGGAAACUAGGAGACUUGAGUAUAGUAGGGGUAGAGGGAAUUUCCAGUGGAGCGGUGAAAUGCGUAGAUAUUGGAAAGAACACCGAUGGCGAAGGCACUCUACUGGGCUAUUACUGACACUCAGAGACGAAAGCUAGGGGAGCAAAUGGG